AAAAGUGAAAGACGGUCUUGCUGUCACUUAUAGAUGGAUCCGCGCUGCAUUAGCUAGUUGGUAAGGUAACGGCUUACCAAGGCAACGAUGCAUAGCCGACCUGAGAGGGUGAUCGGCCACACUGGAACUGAGACACGGUCCAGACUCCUACGGGAGGCAGCAGUAGGGAAUCUUCCGCAAUGGGCGAAAGCCUGACGGAGCAACGCCGCGUGAGUGAUGAAGGUCUUCGGAUCGUAAAACUCUGUUAUUAGGGAAGAACAUAUGUGUAAGUAACUGUGCACAUCUUGACGGUACCUAAUCAGAAAGCCACGGCUAACUACGUGCCAGCAGCCGCGGUAAUACGUAGGUGGCAAGCGUUAUCCGGAAUUAUUGGGCGUAAAGCGCGCGUAGGCGGUUUUUUAAGUCUGAUGUGAAAGCCCACGGCUCAACCGUGGAGGGUCAUUGGAAACUGGAAAACUUGAGUGCAGAAGAGGAAAGUGGAAUUCCAUGUGUAGCGGUGAAAUGCGCAGAGAUAUGGAGGAACACCAGUGGCGAAGGCGACUUUCUGGUCUGUAACUGACGCUGAUGUGCGAAAGCGUGGGG
rnacentral:rRNA from 1 species